rnacentral:ncRNA from 1 species
UUGACAGGGGUGCUCUUCAAGGGCUGAGAUAAUACCCGUAAAACUGAUCCGGAUAAUACCGGCGUAGGAAAAGAAAUGAA